GGGAAUUGGCGGGUGGAAGGCAUGCAAGUCGAACGGGAAGGGGAUUCAAGCAAUUGUGUCCCCUGAGAGUGGCGAACGGGUGAGUAACACGUGGGUAACAUACCUCCGGGUGGGGGAUAACUCAGGGAAACCUGAGCUAAUACCGCAUACGGUCAGACUGCUCAUGGCAGACUGAUCAAAGGUGGGGAUCCUUCGGGACCUGCCGCCUGGAGAUUGGCCCGCGGCCCAUUAGCUUGUUGGCGGGGUAACGGCCCACCAAGGCGACGAUGGGUAGCCGGCCUGAGAGGGUGUCCGGCCACACUGGGAUUGAGAUACGGCCCAGACUCCUUCGGGAGGCAGCAGUCGAGAAUCUUCCCCAAUGGACGAAAGUCUGAGGGAGCGACGCCGCGUGAGGGAUGAAGGCCCUUUGGGUUGUAAACCUCUGUUAGGGGGAAAGAACAGCAGUGGAAGCAACAUGUCCAUUGCCUGACGUUACCCCCAGAGAAAGCUCCGGCCAACUCCGUGCCAGCAGCCGCGGUAAUACGGGGGGAGCAAGCGUUGUCCGGAAUCAUUGGGCGUAAAGGGCGUGUAGGCGGUUUGGCAAGUCGAAUGUGAAAUCCCACGGCUCAACCGUGGAACUGCGUUCGAAACUGCCUGACUUGAGUGCGGGAGAGGUGUGCGGAAUUCCUGGUGUAGCGGUGGAAUGCGUAGAUAUCAGGAAGAACACCGGUGGCGAAGGCGGCACACUGGCCCAGCACUGACGCUGAGGCGCGAAAGCGUGGGGAGCGAACGGGAUUAGAUACCCCGGUAGUCCACGCUGUAAACUUUGGGCACUAGGUAUUGGAGGUCUCAACCCCUUCAGUGCCGUAGCUAACGCGUUAAGUGCCCCGCCUGGGGAGUACGGUCGCAAGGCUGAAACUCAAAGGAAUUGACAGGGGCCCGCACAAGCGGUGGAGCAUGUGGUUUAAUUCGAUGCAACGCGAAGAACCUUACCGGGGUUUGACAUGGGAGCCUUGCCCUCGGGUGAGGUCAGCUCUAUGAAAGUAGGCGCGUCCACACAG
rnacentral:rRNA from 1 species